GGAGAGUUAUCGAAGUGGUCAUAACGAGCCGCACUCGAAAUGCGGUUGUCCUUUACUGGGCACGUGGGUUCGAAUCCCACACUCUCCG
rnacentral:tRNA from 2 species